rnacentral:ncRNA from 1 species
UUGAGCCGGAUGAAAUGAAACUUUCACGUCCGGUUUUGAAGGGGGAUAUCCUCUCAAGUAGAAUUUGGAGCAUUUCAAAAACUAAAUUUCUGAGCCCUAGAACGAAAUCCGUUCUUAC